CCUACGGGAGGCAGCAGUGGGGAAUAUUGCACAAUGGGGGGAACCCUGAUGCAGCGACGCCGCGUGAGUGAAGAAGUAUUUCGGUAUGGAAAGCUCUAUCAGCAGGGAAGAAAAUGACGGUACCUGACUAAGAAGCCCCGGCUAACUACGUGCCAGCAGCCGCGGUAAUAUGUAGGGGGCAAGCGUUAUCCGGAUUUACUGGGCGUAAAGGGAGCGUAGACGGUUCUGCAAGUCUGAAGUGAAAGCCCAAGGCUCAACCAUGGGACUGCUUUGGAAACUGUCAAACUGGAGUGCAGGAGAGGUAAUCGGACUUCCUAGUGUAGCGGUGAAAUGCUUAGAUCUUAGGAGGAACACCAGUGGC
rnacentral:rRNA from 1 species